UACUGCCAACUCAACUGGAUCCCAGCAAAAUAAAAAAAUUUUCAAUUUAAAAAUGUCGUUCUAUUUUUAAGAACAUUUUCAAGAUGAGAACAUUCUUGAGGUUCUCGGGCCACUGUGCCGACUCCUUCGCUCCGCAGUUCCUGUUAUUGGCCGUUUUCAGUGCACAGAUUUAAAAUCAACAACAGGCGAGCGACAGGCGACAGCGGCAACGACAAUGUCUGACCGAAGUCAGCCGUAUACUCAUUUGCACUAAAAGCGGCAUAAAUAUAAACAGGCAAGAAAGGAGCAGACCGAAAAUGCAAAAAAAAAAAA